CCUGCCGGGCAGAGGGUUCACAUCCCAGCUCGCAGGUGGCGCACAGGCUCAGAGAAGCAGAGCCUCCUUUUUGUGGUCAUAUGGCAGGAUGCGAGGUGUCUCCAGAUUUGAUGGACAUUCAGAUAAGACAAGAUGUGUGUCUGAAGGCGGGAGUGGAUAGAGAGCCGCACAGUGCUGAUGCCACGGAAACUUAAAGGCUUGGUUAAAACAACAACAACAGCACACUCUACGCUGUUAAUCAGGACCCUGAAUCAGAAGCAAGAGAAACAGGAACUCCAAGUAUCAAAAGCUUCCUUCUCUGACCAGAGUCCCCAUAGGAAAGAGAGUUCUGGAAAAAUAAAUGUUGACAUUUGACACCACAGGAGCACCAAUUUAAAAAGGCACUUUAAACCAAAAUUGACUUCACAAAAAUCAAUAUUGAAAAAUCAGACUUGGAUUCCAAUGAAA